GUCUACAGCCAUACCACCUUGAAGGUGCCUGAUCUCAUCUGAUCUCAGAAGAUAAACAGGGUUGGACCUGGUUAGUACUUGGAUGGGAAGGAUGAUUUAUCCUACUAGAUAUUAAGAAUUAUAAUAA
rnacentral:rRNA from 1 species